rnacentral:ncRNA from 1 species
UCUUAUCCCGAGCUGGUGGAGGGUCAGGCCCUGUGAAACCCGGCAACCUGCAUGUGAAUUCACGACAUGCGUUGGUGCCAAUCUGAUGCAAGGAUUUUCCUUGAACGAUAAGA